ensembl:lncRNA
UUUAUAUUUGAUAUCAGUGGUCAGAAAGCUACUUUUUUUCAUCAGCAGGUAUAAGUGUCUUGUUGGGUGAGAGAAUCAGGAUCUAAAAAGAUUUCUUCAGGUUUUAAUGAUGGGGUGAAUCUUUAAUGACAUAAUGAUAAAUGUCAAGUCCUACAUUUGGGCUAAAAAAAAAUCAGCUGUUAAGCUGGAGAGGUAAGGUAAGGGGACUGGAGGCAGUGUCAUAUCAUUUGAAAACUGGAUGAAGGAAGCUGGAUAUUUAGUUCAGAUAAGAAAAGACUUUUAAAGAAGGCUUGAUUUUCUGUUUUUAGCUAUUUGAGGUGUCCUAUAGAAGACGGGUUAGUCUUUUCUGUUUGGCCCCAGGGGGUCAAAACAAGGACCAGUGAAUGCAUGGAUGCUAUAAGGAGACACAUUUGGGUUCCAUAUGAGAAAGAACUUCCCAAUAAUUCAGAGCUGUUACAAAACACAACCGGCUGUCUUGGGAGAUGGCAAAUUCUCUAAGAAGUAGGUUUGUUCAAGCAUAGGUUUGAUAACCAUUUGUUGAGAGUAUCCUAGAGGUUUAUUGACGCUUCAGGUAAGGGGUUAAACUAGACGACCUGCCAAUUCCAAGAUUCUGUGAUCUUAAUUGCAUUCCCCACCUCUUAUUCUUUUAGGGAUCAGGAACAUCUGGCUUGCUUCUUCACGAUGUAUCAGGAGAACAUUGUUGGAGCUGAGAUGAUUUGAUUGAUGCAAGCUUGGAAACAAGGGGUUUCUCUGUUCAUGAACUCAAGAAGUUGUGACUAAUUAAGAAGAUGAAGAAUGUAUGUGAUGUACUUUGGAGAUUCGUCUUCAGAUAAUGCAUUUCUUUAGACUGAAGAUACCAAUCUGCAUUUCUCAGGGACUAAGCCGCUUUGAGAGUUGGAAGGGACAUCAGUGGUCAUCUACUCCAACUCAUACACGAAAGGGAUCCCUUAUAACACACCCGACAGGUAUGUUAUCCAGCUUUUGUUGGAAGCCUUUACAGGGUGGGUCAACCCUUUGGGGCACCUGUUACUUUUUGAGACAUCUCUAAUUACUAGUAAGGUUUUCCUGACAUCAAGUUAAAUUUGCCUCUUUGUAACUUCUUACCAUUGCUCCUGCCAUGAAACAAGGACAAUCCCUUCCCUGUGUGAUAGCCAUUAAAAUCCUUGAAAAUAGCUGUCCUCUUCCCCCUUGAGCCUUCUCUCCUCCAAGCUAAACUUCUCCAGUUUUUCUUUCAGUCUGUCUUCACCUGACAUGGACUCAAGGCUCCUUAGCAUCCUGGUUGCCCUUCUCUGGAUAUUCUCCCGCUUAUCAGUAUCUUCUGCUUUAAAUAGUGGCACGCAGAGCUGAACACGGUACUGCAGAUGAGGUCUGACAAGGGCAGAGUAUAUAUAGUAUCAUCUCUGUGUUCCUGGCAGCUAUGCCCCUCUUAAUUAAGCCCAAGAUUGCAUUAGCUUUUUUGGCUGCCACAUCACACUGCUGACUCAUAUUGAGUUUGUCGUCCACUAAAAUGCUCAGAUCUUUUUUGGAACAGUUGCUGUAUAAUGAUGUUGCCCCAUCUUAUACUUGUGGAAUUGAUUAUUAACCUAAAUUCAAGACUUGACAUCUACCAAUGUUUAAUUUCAUCUUAAUGGAUUCAGCCCACUGCUCUAGCCUGUCAAGAUCCUUUUGGAUACUGUAUAAUCUAGUGUGUUAGCAAUCCCUGCUAACUUUGCAUUAUUUGCAAAUUUUAUUAGUAUAUCAUGGUACUUUCAUCCAAGGCAUUUAUAAGAAUGUUAGAACAAGGUCAAGUUCAAUUAACUACUAGUCUUGUGUGUGCGUGUGUGUGGCAAUUGGGGUUAAGUGACUUUACCAGGGUCACACAGCUAGUAAGUGUCAAGUAUCUGAG